rnacentral:rRNA from 1 species
UGCAAGUCGAGCGGUAGCACAGAGAGCUUGCUCUCGGGUGACGAGCGGCGGACGGGUGAGUAAUGUCUGGGAAACUGCCUGAUGGAGGGGGAUAACUACUGGAAACGGUAGCUAAUACCGCAUAAGUCGCAAGACCAAAGUGGGGGACCUUCGGGCCUCAUGCCAUCAGAUGUGCCCAGAUGGGAUUAGCUAGUAGGUGGGGUAAYGGCUCACCUAGGCGACGAUCCCUAGCUGGUCUGAGAGGAUGACCAGCCACACUGGAACUGAGACACGGUCCAGACUCCUACGGGAGGCAGCAGUGGGGAAUAUUGCACAAUGGGCGCAAGCCUGAUGCAGCCAUGCCGCGUGUGUGAAGAAGGCCUUCGGGUUGUAAAGCACUUUCAGCGGGGAGGAAGGCGKURAGGUUAAUAACCUYGKCGAUUGACGUUACCCGCAGAAGAAGCACCGGCUAACUCCGUGCCAGCAGCCGCGGUAAUACGGAGGGUGCAAGCGUUAAUCGGAAUUACUGGGCGUAAAGCGCACGCAGGCGGUCUGUCAAGUCGGAUGUGAAAUCCCCGGGCUCAACCUGGGAACUGCAUUCGAAACUGGCAGGCUAGAGUCUUGUAGAGGGGGGUAGAAUUCCAGGUGUAGCGGUGAAAUGCGUAGAGAUCUGGAGGAAUACCGGUGGCGAAGGCGGCCCCCUGGACAAAGACUGACGCUCAGGUGCGAAAGCGUGGGGAGCAAACAGGAUUAGAUACCCUGGUAGUCCACGCCGUAAACGAUGUCGAUUUGGAGGUUGUGCCCUUGAGGCGUGGCUUCCGGAGCUAACGCGUUAAAUCGACCGCCUGGGAGUACGGCCGCAAGGUUAAAACUCAAUGAAUUGACGGGGGCCCGCACAAGCGGUGGAGCAUGUGGUUUAAUUCGAUGCAACGCGCAGAACCUUACCUGGUCUUGACAUCCACAGAACUUUCCAGAGAUGGAUUGGUGCCUUCGGGAACUGUGAGACAGGUGCUGCAUGGGCUGUCGUCAGCUCGUGUUGUGAAAUGUUGGGUUAAGUCCCGCAACGAGCGCCAC